rnacentral:rRNA from 1 species
UACAUUAGACUACCCGGGUAGUCCCAGCCGUAAACUAUGCUCGCUAGGUGUCAGGCAUGGCGCGACCGUGUCUGGUGCCGCAGGGAAGCCGUGAAGCGAGCCACCUGGGAAGUACGGCCGCAAGGCUGAAACUUAAAGGAAUUGGCGGGGGAGCACAACAACGGGUGGAGCCUGCGGUUUAAUUGGACUCAACGCCGGACAACUCACCGGGGACGACAGCAAUAUGUAGGCCAGGCUGAAGACCUUGCCUGAAUCGCUG